rnacentral:rRNA from 1 species
AGUGAACGCUGGCGGUAGGCCUAACACAUGCAAGUCGAACGGCAGCACAGUAAGAGCUUGCUCUUACGGGUGGCGAGUGGCGGUCGGGUGAGGAAUACAUCGGAAUCUACUUUUUCGUGGGGGUUAACGUAGGGAAACUUACGCUAAUACCGCAUACGACCUACGGGUGAAAGCAGGGGAUCUUCGGACCUUGCGCGAUUGAAUGAGCCGAUGUCGGAUUAGCUAGUUGGCGGGGUAAAGGCCCACCAAGGCGACGAUCCGUAGCUGGUCUGAGAGGAUGAGCAGCCACACUGGAACUGAGACACGGUCCAGACUCCUACGGGAGGCAGCAGUGGGGAAUAUUGGACAAUGGGAGCAAGCCUGAUCCAGCCAUACCGCGUGGGUGAAGAAGGCCUUCGGGUUGUAAAGCCCUUUUGUUGGGAAAGAAAAGCAGCAGGUUAAUACCCCGCUGUUCUGACGGUACCCAAAGAAUAAGCACCGGCUAACUUCGUG